rnacentral:rRNA from 1 species
AACGAACGCUGGCGGCAUGCCUAAUACAUGCAAGUCGAACGAUCACUUCGGUGAUAGUGGCGCACGGGUGCGUAACGCGUGGGAAUCUGCCCUUGGGUUCGGAAUAACAGCUGGAAACGGCUGCUAAUACCGGAUGAUGACGUAAGUCCAAAGAUUUAUCGCCCAAGGAUGAGCCCGCGUAGGAUUAGCUAGUUGGUGGGGUAAAGGCCCACCAAGGCGACGAUCCUUAGCUGGUCUGAGAGGAUGAUCAGCCACACUGGGACUGAGACACGGCCCAGACUCCUACGGGAGGCAGCAGUAGGGAAUAUUGGACAAUGGGGGCAACCCUGAGCCAGCAAUGCCGCGUGAGUGAUGAAGGCCUUAGGGUUGUAAAGCUCUUUUACCCGAGAUGAUAAUGACAGUAUCGGGAGAAUAAGCUCCGGCUAACUCCGUGCCAGCCGCCGCCGUAA